rnacentral:rRNA from 1 species
UAGUCCACGCCGUAAACGAUGAGAACUAGUUGUCGGGAGGGUUUAGCCUCUCGGUGACGCAGCUAACGCGUUAAGUUCUCCGCCUGGGGAGUACGGUGGCAACACUAAAACUCAAAUGAAUUGACGGGGGCCCGCACAAGCGGUGGAGCAUGUGGUUUAAUUCGAUGCAGCGCGAAGAACCUUACCUACUCUUGACAUCUACAGAAGCCAGUGGAGACGCAGGUGUGCCUUCGGGAACUGUAAGACAGGUGCUGCAUGGCUGUCGUCAGCUCGUGUUGUGAAAUGUUGGGUUAAGUCCCGCAACGAGCGCAACCCUUAUCCUUGUUUGCCAGCACGUAAUGGUGGGAACUCCAGGGAGACUGCCGGUGAUAAACCGGAGGAAGGUGGGGACGACGUCAAGUCAUCAUGGCCCUUACGAGUAGGGCUACACACGUGCUACAAUGGCAUAUACAGAGGGCAGGCAAGACCGCGAGUGGAGCGAAUCCCAGAAGUAUGUCGUAGUCCGGAUUG